UACGGAGGGUGCAAGCGUUAUCCGGAUUCACUGGGUUUAAAGGGUGCGUAGGUGGGUCUGUAAGUCAGUGGCGAAAUCUCCGUGCUUAACAUGGAAACUGCCAUUGAUACUAUAGGUCUUGAAUUUUCUGGAGGUCAGCGGAAUAUGUCAUGUAGCGGUGAAAUGCUUGGAUAUGACAUAGAACACCAAUUGCGAAGGCAGCUGGCUACAGGGAUAUUGACACUGAGGCACGAAAGCGUGGGGAUCAAACAGG
rnacentral:rRNA from 1 species